rnacentral:rRNA from 1 species
GAUGAACGCUGGCGGCGUGCCUAACACAUGCAAGUCGAGCGAACGGACGAGAAGCUUGCUUUUUUGAUGUUAGCGGCGGACGGGUGUGUAACACGUGUAUAACCUACUUAUAUGUCUGGUAUAAUCUCGGGAAACCGGAGCUAAUACCGGAUAAUAUUUUGAACCGCAUGGUUCAAAAGUGAAAGACGGUCUUGCUGUCACUAAUAGAUGGAUCCGCGCUGCAUUAGCUAGUUGGUAAGGUAACGGCUUACCAAGGCAACGAUGCAUAGCCGACCUGAGAGGGUGAUCGGCGACACUGGAACUGAGACACGGUCCAGACUCCUACGGGAGGCAGCAGUAGGGAAUCUUCCGCAAUGGGCGAAAGCCUGACGGAGCAACGCCGCGUGAGUGAUGAAGGUCUUCGGAUCGUAAAACUCUGUUAUUGGGGAAGAACAUAUGUGUAAGUAGCUGUGCACAUCUUGACGGUACCUAAUCAGAAAGCCACGGCUAACUACGUG